UAUCGCCACUUCAGAUGAAGGGAUAUCAACCUUAGAAUUUAGAAAAAAUGUCUUUUGAACUAUGAGUCCCAGAAUCCCUGGACAGAGGAGACAUUGAAAUCUAAAAGUUGUAAAGACAGUGGGUAUUUGAAGGAAUUGCCUCCCAUGUGUCAUUGCUCCAAUUUAAAUUUCCCUUUCUUCUGGAGCUGCUAUCACUAAUGUGGGGUGUUUAUGUAUCACAUCCCCUCCAACGGCUGGAGCAAUCAAUAUUACCCCUCUGUUGUCUCACUUUUUUGUUCUGCUUUUAAAAUGCCCCAGUUCCUCUCUUCUCCACCCACCUUCCCUCUUUGUGCUCAGUUUAUUUAAAUUGGCAUUAUAGCUUUAAAUAUUGAAUUUAUAUCCCCAAAUAGGAUGAUGCAAACUACUGGUAAAUUCAAAGUGCAAAUAUAAUUUGCUCUUAGUUCACUCAGCAAGAGGAGAACGCGGGGGGGGGGGGGGGGGAUAGAUUUUGCUUAUGCGUUCAUCCUCAUUGAUAACAUUUUGAUCUGUGAUGUUAUUGGCCAAAUGUGUCCUGAUUUUCAUCAAUGAAAGUUAGAGGGUAUAGUGCCUGACAGGAAUCAUGUGGAUUCUCCAGUUGAUAAUGGUAUCUUAUGUUUUCAGCAGCUCAAGCAGAAGAAGGGAGGAUUCAAGAAGCAGCAGACAGGCAAUCCAGAUUCACAGGCCAGGCAGUGGAAACACAGUACGAUGCACAGUCACCAGUUGUUACCUUUCAGCCGAAUCAAGAUCGUGUCAGUAUUGAAAUACUUCCUAGGUAUCCCACACCACAUACACGGAAGAAGUCAUCCAUCAGAAAAGGUAAGUUGUUAAUAUGUCAGGAAAUUAAUUUUCCUGAUGCAAUAUGUUUGUAGAAUCAGAGUAGUCAUGACACAGUUAUAGGGUGCAUCUACAUUGUAGAAUCAAUGCAGUUUGACACCACUUUAACUGUCAUAACUCAAUAUUAUCUGAUCCUGAGAGUUCUAGCUUUAAAGGCCUUUAGCACUGUGGCCUCACAAAACUACAAAUCCCAGGAUCCCAUAGAAUUGAGCCAUG
rnacentral:lncRNA from 1 species